rnacentral:tRNA from 1 species
GCCAGUGUGGUGUAAUGGUUUGAGCAUUGGACUACAACUCUGGAAACCAGGGUUCAAUCCCCAGCUCAGCCA